rnacentral:misc_RNA from 1 species
UUGACUAUGAAUCGUUGCCUUCAGUGCUGGCUCCGGCAAGUGCACGUCGGUGACUUUCAUCCAACACCCUGUGCACCUUUGGCCUCUUGCUGGCUUCGGCUGGCAGAGGAUUUUUACACUCACUCGCAUGUAAUGAAAUUUAUUGCUGUGCGCAAGCACUAAUGUA